ensembl:lincRNA
GUUCAAGACCUGGAAAGGGAAGACAGCACGGCAUUCUCCCAGAGCUGCAGGAAAGUGAGAGUUUGGAGGUGCUCACGGAUCAGUGGAAGGAUCACAUUUUCCAAGUCGGUGUCCAGGACUACAUUUACAGGAUACACCCAGGAUAUAACCCCUGGGUUGUGUGCCCACCUGUCCACAGCCUGUUAGGAACCUGGCUGCACAGCAGGAGCUGUGAGAUGAGUGUGAUCAACUUGUGGAGGUACAAACUGACAAGAAGGGCUGAACUCAGGAAGGGCCUACGGGGACCUCCUCUUCAUGAAUGUGGCAGUCUCACUGUCUGGCUCUCAGCCUCAUACGCCCUGAAGCUUUGCCUUCAGCACAUCAAGAAUGGCUCUGUCUCUUGAGUCAAAGUCACGUUAGCCAAACUCAGAUGUAUAGACCGGAAUGACAUCCUUAACCAUUCAAGGAUCUGCUGAGUGCUUUUGAACUGUGGUGUUGGAGAAGACUUUUGAGAGUCGCUUGGACUGCAAGGAGAUCCAGCUAGUCAAUCCUAAAGGAAAUCAGUCCUGAAUAUUUAUUGGAAGGACUGAUGCUGAAGCUGAAACUCCAAUACUUUGACCACAUGAUGUGAAAGAACUGACACAUUGGAAAAGACCCUGAUGCUGGGAAAGAUUGAAGGCAGGAGGAGAAGGGGACGACAGAGGAUGAGAUGGUUAGAUGGCAUCACUGACAUGAGUUUGAGUAGGCUCUGGGAGUUGGUGAAGGACAGGGAAGCCUAGCAUGCUGCAGUUCGUGGGGUCGUCAAGAGUCAAUCAUGACUGAGUGACUGAACUGAUCUCUAUAGCAAAGCUGCUUGGAAAGCUAACUGACAGUUACAAAGUAGUCUUUAAGCCUGGCAGGUCCCUAAGAAUAUAGGGCCAUUUGAUUUAUCCUUCAUCUCUGGCACUUAGCACACAGUAGGUGCUCAGUAAAUAUUUGUUAAAUCAAUGAAUAAGUCCCCUAGGGUAAUUCAGAUCUGAACAGCUGAGAAUGGAAGGAUUGUGGUGAUCUGAGGGUGAUUAAGAAAGAUCGUGCUGAGAAGGUAGGUAAAGGAUGGGCAGAGGCUGGGUGGGAAAAGAGGAAGAAGGGUGUUCUUAGCAUGGGAACUUGUAAGGUGACUGAUGGAAUGAGAUCUCAAGAUGUCAUGAGAAAUCAGUCUGGACAGAUUGGGACCAGAUGUGUGGGUUGGCAAGUCUCUUUAAGGGCCCUACUUGUAGCCCCAAGAAAGGUAGUGAAGUUGUGAGGAAUGGUUAAAUUACAGAAGACUGGUUAUCUCAAUCUCAUAUACACCACCAGUGUCACUGGUCUGAAAUGAGGUUGUGUGACUGAAGGGCGAUGUUGUCACUCAGCACCAAACACUGAAUCAGCAGACACUCAAGGAGAGGCAGGCAGUGUGCAAGUGUACAGGGGACAAAGUGUCCACUCUCAGGGGCCCCACCAUUCAUGAGUUACUGGUCUGCCUGCACUGAGUUAUAAUCUUCAAAAACCAAACUGACUGAUGUUCGGAAGACCAGAAACCAGGACUUCUUGGCUUGCCAAUCGGAGCUGCCCAGACUUCAUUCACCAGAAGUCUAGCUUUUCCCAACUGUUUGUCAUUGGAGCUUCCUGUCUGGCAAAUGACAGUUUCAAGGAUGGUUGCAUCUUUCCUGAUCAUUAACAGAUUUUCUCUAUCAAG